UACGUAGGGUGCGAGCGUUGUCCGGAAUUAUUGGGCGUAAAGGGCUCGUAGGCGGCCAACUAAGUCAGACGUGAAAUCCCUCGGCUUAACCGGGGAACUGCGUCUGAUACUGGAUGGCUUGGAUUCGGGAGAGGAAUGCGGAAUUCCAGGUGUAGCGGUGAAAUGCGUAGAUAUCUGGAGGAACACCGGUGGCGAAGGCGGCAUUCUGGACCGAUAUUGACGCUGAUGAGCGAAAGCCAGGGGAGCAAACGGG
rnacentral:rRNA from 1 species